CCCUUAGAUGUUCUGGGCCGCACGCGCGCUACACUGACGGAGUCAACGAGUUGUCCUGCAUCGGAAGGUGUGGGUAAUCUUUUGAAACUUCGUCGUGCUGGGGAUAGAUCUUUGCAAUUUUCGAUCUUGAACGAGGAAUUCCUAGUAAGCGUGAUUCAUCAGAUCGCGUUGAUUACGUCCCUGCCCUUUGUACACACCGCCCGUCGCUACUACCGAUUGAAUGGUUUAGUGAGGCCUCGGGACUGGCGCGCUCGAGUAGCAAUACACCUGCGCGCCGGGAACUUGGUCAAACUUGAUCAUUUAGAGGAAGUAAAAAUCGUAACA
rnacentral:rRNA from 1 species